GUGCUCACCUCUGGCACAUAUACUAAAAUUAGAACGAUACAGAGAAGACUAGCAUGGCCCCUGUGUAAGGAUGACAGGCAUUCCAUAUUUUUGGGAGAAAACUUUU
ensembl:snRNA U6 U6 spliceosomal RNA